GUGACAUCAUCAACCAGCUUUAGUUCAGACCUGCAUUCUCAGUAACGACCAGCAGGGGGCGGCUCCACUGGUUGCAAUAACACACAGAUACCAUUCAGUCUUAUGGAGAAAUGAGUCGACUUCUCAGUUGAUUGAUGAGCUCAGUAAACAGUUUCCUGAUGAGUUUCUGGUCUCAGUCUCUAGUUCCAGUCUUCUUCCAUACAGCAUGAUGUUCAUUUAGUAACUGAUGGUCCCAUUUAGAGUAAAACAGACCAUAAAGCAGGGUAUGCUUUAGGGCGGGGCUACCUUGUGAUUGACAGCUCAUUCUCAGUGAGUCCGUCCAGCUCAACGCACCAAACUCAGAUCAAACUGUCAAACAGUGCUGAUCAGAUAUGGAUCCAGAUUCUGCGAGUGAGUUGCAAUCACUGGGCUGUGGAAAAGCCUCUUUGAGGAGUAACUGAUUGUGAUUACUCUGCCGACAGUUGACAGAACAGAAAACAACAGGAGGCAGAAUAAAGUUGAAAAUAAAGCAGAAGUUACUCGAGAUAACCUCGGCUGUAUUUUACAUAAACAGCUCAGUAACAAUAAAGCAAGCAGGCGGUGACCUAAAACAAACAAAUAAACAGAGGAGGGGGAAAAUAAAUAUAUAAAUGAAUAAAUAAAGAUAAUAAAUAUAAUUAUAAACCUUUCAGAUUGUCCUCAAUGUCCUGAUACUCCGAGACAUUCAUCAUAAUCAGCCUGGAAAACCUGGAAACUUAGAGAUUGUUAAAAUUUGUUGUUAAAAUGACCAAAUAUUCUGGAAAUAAUCCAAACGUUUCUCUUUAUCUAUGUCUCGUUUUAAUGGUUAAUGAUUAACGAUGUUAGAAGGUGACUUUUCUGUAAAGUACAGAAUUAACUGUACUUCAUUUGAACAGUUUUAGGGGCUCACGUUGGAGGAAAGCUGUAGUGAAAUGUCGUCAGUUCACUGGAGAGUUUGCAGCUGGAAACAUCUGCAAAUUAACAGAGUGUCUCAUUAACCUGCUGCAGUAAAAAAAAAAAAGUUAAAAUGGAGCCUUCUGGUAAAUUAUAUUAACGUUGGUGAGCAAGUGCUGUCCUGAAAUGUCAAGAAAAACUCCUGGAAAUGACUUCUUACAAACAGUGGGAACCCUGAUGAUGUGUUGGGUCAUACAGACACACAGAGCCUCAUUCUGUCAAACAAAAACUGUAAAAAAAAAUCAAUAAUAAACAGAGAGAAAUGGUAAAAAUGGAGACAGAACCUCAAGAAACUUAAUAAAAACUGAUUAUAUUUCAUGAAUCCCAACAAACACAAAGCCAGAGAUCCUGAAGUCCGUGUGUUGCAAUGAGGAGCACCUGAGAGAGGAAGGGAGGGAGGGGAGUGGAGGAGAGAGGACCUUGAACAUUUAAACGCUCCUCUCGUGUUUGUUUACUGUUUUCACCUGUAGCCUUUGUGUUUAACGUCACAACACUAUGAACUGUGGGUAAUUCCCUCAGGCAGUCAGCGGGAAUGUCUGCGAGAGCGCUUGAGUUACCGGGAGCGCCUUAAAGUCUGUGAGCAUGGCAGCUGGGACGGGUGGCGCUCUGUCCCAGGCGUUGACGGUGGGACGGGUGGCGCUCUGUCCCAGGCGUUGACGGUGGGACGGGUGGCGCUCUGUCCCAGGCGUUGACGGUGGGACGGGUGGCGCUCUGUCCCAGGUGUUGACGGUGGGACGGGUGGCGCUCUGUCCCAGGCGUUGACGGUGGGACGGGUGGCGCUCUGUCCCAGGCGUGGACACUGGGACGGGUGGCGCUCUGUCCCAGGCGUUGACGGUGGGACGGGUGGCGCUCUGUCCCAGGCGUGGACGGUGGGACGGGUGGCGCUCUGUCCCAGGCGUUGACGGUGGGACGGGUGGCGCUCUGUCCCAGGCGUUGACGGUGGGACGGGUGGCGCUCUGUCCCAGGCGUUGACGGUGGGACGGGUGGCGCUCUGUCCCAGGCGUUGACGGUGGGACGGGUGGCGCUCUGUCCCAGGCGUUGACGGUGGCGUCUGUC